GCGCGCGCCCUGGAGUCCUGUCCUGGUUCUGGCGGCUGAGGGCCGGGUGGCGCAGGCGGCCUCCGGCUGUGCCCAUGGGAACUAAAACCUUCGGUUCUAGAAGAGCCGGGGGAGAGGCUCCGGGAAGACCGAAUUCUUCAGAAAUCGCAGAGAGACCUUGGACCGGAUCCUUCCCUGCAGGGCUGCGUCGGGGAAGCGCCGGCACAAGUAUAUUCAGCGACUUCCUUGGAAGCGCCUACGUUAGAAUACUACAAACUUACAAGCUAGUUGAUCAGUUUACCUCCCACUAGAAAAGACAGUAUGGGAAGGCAGAGGCCGCGUGGCCUGGACCCCCGUCUUUGCUGUCAGGCUUCCAGAGUGAAGCCUCUCCUUCCUGGAAAUUGCCAUCACCAGCGGCCAUAGCACCCCCAUGGGACCUGGGGGAUGGAGUUGGAAGCCCCCUCCGGCAACACUGGCCAGAUUGGAGAGACCAGCAGGGAAGCUCCCUCCUACCCCCAGGGAGGCUGAAGCCAGCUCUCCAUGGGCACGAAACCUGGAACCCAGGACCCUGGGGGGCAGCCCUGCCCUCCUCGCUCUUCACCCCACUUCAGAGAACUGUGACCCACUGGAGGCUGGGAUUUGAGAUGAGAGGUCACCCUCGGAGUUGGCUCCAGCUGCUGCCUCUGCCUGGGACCCCUCCUUGGGAGUUGGGUGGCAGGGCCUUGCUGGGGGCACUUCCCUUCGCAUCUGGAUUUUGGCCUCGGGCCCAGGGCUAUGGGGGUUUCCAGAGUGGUGACAGCCUUGUCCUAGCAGGGACCAGCCCAAGCACUUCCUCCCAGAGCCCUCUGGGAGCGUCCCAGCCCCAAGGCUGUCAUUUUGUCGUAGGGAGUAAAUUGUGGAGUCAGCAGAGGCUGUCUUCCACACUUUCUGUGC
rnacentral:lncRNA from 1 species